CUCGAUCCCAGGCCGAGUUUUCGCUUUUAUAACGGUUAGGCGAACAACUGGGCCUGGUACUAGUUGUCUGCGCAUGUGUCAAUCGUUUGUCAGAUUCUGACAAAUGGAUAUUCUCGUUCACUUUCGUGACAUUUAUAUUCGUGUACUAUCGUGUACUAGAAGUCAGUUCCCGUUUUAUCAUUAUUGGAAUCGAUUGGAAUGGCUCUUAGCUGAAGCUUCUCUCUUCUCUGAAGCUUAUUCUGAAGACUAAACAACAAGGGAAGAGGUAUAAAGCUUUGUCAAGCUUGUUAAGGAGCAAUGGCUAAUAUCCAGCUAUCCCAACAGUGCUGCUCCUCUUGGCUAUACUAACGGACGAGACUGGACAGUUUGAGGUAAGGGUUUAACCGUCUUUGGUUUCUUUUAAUAUUGUCCUAUACUCACAGACACAGGACUGGAGUUUGACCUGCUCAUUUGAGCGUUGCUGGGUAGCUCAGAGACAUCAAGAGAAUCUACGUUUUCUCAAGUAAUGAGUUACGAGUUGGGGCCUAGAAUCAGAGAAGUCCAGCAGCCUGCUAAAUCUUUUUGAAACGUAAUUUGAAGGCAUUCAAUCAUCCUGAAGUUGCCCUGGGUCACUGUAAUUGUGCUGCAGCACAACUGGCAACUCCCCAGGCCUUUGUGAAGCAGCUCCCUAUGUGCAUCUUUUGUGUACUCACUCUGUGCAUUUUCUGUGUACAAAUUUCAAUUAUUGAUUUAUUAAAUAUU